ACAUGAGUAUGUGAUGCCCUUUGUAGGACUAACGCCCAUUGUCCUAUGGCUGCGCGCAACGCGAAUCAUUGUCCAUAGAAAAUCCAUAGGACGCAGGGCAGUUUACUUUAGGCAGCCCUCGCUUUCUUCUACAAAGUUUUCUCAACACUGAAAAAGUACAACAUGGCUACUAAGAGUGUAAACGCUAAAUCAAACUUCAAGUAUACACAUUUGGAGGAGAUUAUUGCAGAAAUUGACCGGGAGAGUGACACGAGGAGUCCUGCGCGCAAUAAAGAUUGGAAGGAAAAGGAAUUGGUUCCUCCAGUCUGACCCCUCUGCUGUCUCUGUCUCCACACCCACCCCUGCCUGACCAUAUAGAGGAGUGAAGGCUUUGGAAGUGCAUUCUCAUGAGCCAACUGAAGGGGGCAGCACAGGGGUGUUCCUCACCACCCAACAGGUCAAGCCACAGAGCCGACAGCAGCAGACCUGAGGCAUCUCCUCCUCAAAAUAAUUUGGCCAUGAAGGAGCUUUUCGGGGAGACCUUUGCGAGCAAGGACACAGGCAAGACGUUUGCCAACAGUAUCAAAGAGGAGGUGGCAUCCUACAAGGCAGCAAGCAGCAUUCCAAUGGAUGGUGAUCCACUGGCAUGGUGGAAAAGCAAUGAGUGUAAAUACCCUCACAUUGCCAUGACGGCAAGACGCAACCUGCCUGUGCGAGAGGGUGUUCUCCACGGCAGGAGACAUAGUGACUGCAAAGAGGUCUACCCUCUCCCCAGACAAUGUAGACAUCCUCAUCUCUUUUGAAAAAUUAUUUGAAUUUAUAAGCUCAGGUCUGCUUUGCUUUCUUUUUUUAUGAUGUGGACACAGGCUAUUUUUUAUUUCACUAUUGUUCAAAGGAAGAAGGUAUCAUGCCUCAUAUUGCACUUUAAUUUAACAAUUGAGUAUUGAAUAUUUUAUCUUAAUAUUUUAUUUAAACAUUGAAAAGUUCCUUGCUUUAAGUGUUCUUUAAGUAAUAAAUGGAAAGCAAAGUUA